GUCUUUUUGUCCGCACGGGAGCGGGUGUUUUUCUCCAGCCGCUGGUCCGGUGUUCCUGAGGAGGAGGCUACGGUGUGCCGCCUGGGCUGCUUCGGGCUCUGCUCCCCAUGUCCUGCGCCGCCCGGCAGGUUCAUCUUUGGGGUAUAUGGUUAUACCAGGUCACUGAGUGUCUAUCAGAAGUUACACCAAUGCCAUGGGAAGACCCUGUUGCUGGUGGUACUAGUGGGGAACAAGGCAGAUCUUUCUCUGGACAGAGAGGUGCAGGAAGUCCAAGAGAAGAAACUAGCAGAGCCCUGGAGUGCAACACGCAUAGAGUCAUCUUGCUUAAGAGAAUGGGUUGAUUCAAAGCAUCACCACCAGAGUCAUCCAGGCCGAUGACUCCACCAAUGACUCUGUCGAUGCUGUCGGAUGUGAACUCUCAGGCACAGGGUGACUACCUCAUUUCUGCCAUCAGUGCUCCUUAAGCUCCAGCAGGGGCAGACUCUUAAGACUUAAUGGAUAUGGUUGCAGUGUGUCUGAGGCCCUAUGGACACACAGUGUGGUACCCUCAUAUUGACACACUUUCCCUAGGUUCCAGUAGUCUGGUGUCAACGUUUACAAAAGGGCAGGGAUGUCUCGUGGGUACCAGUCCCUAUCCCCCUUUUUGAUAAAUGAAUUUUUUAGAAUAUGCAUGGUUGGUAUUUGAGUUGUGGGCAUUUACCAAGAGCUCAUCCAUCUGUGUAGGUCUUGAGUGUUGGGCGGAUAAGGAGGGCUAAGGACUGCUGAAAUAGAGGUGGCUGCCUGGAAUAACAAUGUAUAUAUGCAAACAAAUUGAGAAAUAUUUUUAAAUGAAAUACCAGCAAUAUACCAAGUAAAUUCUCCCAA